rnacentral:rRNA from 1 species
UCGGGAAUAUUGGACAAUGGGCGAAAGCCUGAUCCAGCCAUGCCGCGUGUGUGAAGAAGGUCUUCGGAUUGUAAAGCACUUUAAGUUGGGAGGAAGGGCAGUUACCUAAUACGUAUCUGUUUUGACGUUACCGACAGAAUAAGCACCGGCUAACUCUGUGCCAGCAGCCGCGGUAAUACAGAGGGUGCAAGCGUUAAUCGGAAUUACUGGGCGUAAAGCGCGCGUAGGUGGUUUGUUAAGUUGGAUGUGAAAUCCCCGGGCUCAACCUGGGAACUGCAUUCAAAACUGACAAGCUAGAGUAUGGUAGAGGUGGUGGAAUUUCCUGUGUAGCGGUGAAAUGCGUAGAUAU